GGAGUCUAGCAUGUGNGCAAGUCAUUGGGCUACUGCUAAACCCAAAGGCGUAUUGAACGAAAAGGCCGGCGCUCGCGCCGGCUGAGGGAAGAUGGGGUCCCGUAUCCCGGUGGCCCCCGCAUUCCCGGGGCGUCUCGUCCUACCGUCGGCUUGCCGGCGGAAGGUGAGGCGCACCAAGAGCGCACGCGUUGGUACCCGAAAGAUGGUGAACUAUGCCUGGUCAGGACGAAGUCAGGGGAAACCCUGAUGGAGGUCCGUAGCGAUUCUGACGUGCAAAUCGAUCGUCGGAACUGGGUAUAGGGGCGAAAGACUAAUCGAACCAUCUAGUAGCUGGUUCCCUCCGAAGUUUCCCUCAGGAUAGCUGGCGCUCGGUGACCCGAGUCCCAUCCGGUAAAGCGAAUGAUUAGAGGCCUUGGGGUCGAAACGACCUCAACCUAUUCUCAAACUUUAAAUGGGUGGGAACCGCGGCCUGUUUGAACGCUGAGGCCGCGGCACCGAGGAUCGGAGUGCCCAGUGGGCCAUUUUUGGUAAGCAGAACUGGCGCUGUGGGAUGAACCAAACGCCGGGGUAAGGCGCCCGAAUCGACGCUCAUUCGAAACCAUGAAAGGUGUUGGUUGCUUAAGACAGCAGGACGGUGGCCAUGGAAGUCGGAAUCCGCUAAGGAGUGUGUAACAACUCACCUGCCGAAGCAACUAGCCCUGAAAAUGGAUGGCGCUGAAGCGUCGUGCCUAUACCCGGCCGCCGGGGCAGAAGGCGAGCGGCGUCAAAACCGCGCGCCGCGAAGCCCCGGCGAGUAGGAGGGUCGCGGCGGUGUGCGCAGAAGGGUCUGGGCGUGAGCCUGCCUGGAGCCGCCGUCGGUGCAGAUCUUGGUGGUAGUAGCAAAUACUCCAGCGAGGCCCUGGAGGACUGAUGUGGAGAAGGGUUCCGUGUGAACAGCCGUUGCACACGGGUCAGUCGAUCCUAAGCCCUAGGAGAAAUCCGAUGUUGAUGGUCGCGGGAUUUUUUUACGAUGGAGACCGCGACGUGGAAAACCGCGAACGGUCAACGGAAGCGGGAAAAAACGCUCGGAGGCGCGAAACGUUCCUCGGAAAUCGAGGGGGGAGAACGAGGUUUCGGCGCGGCGUGGAAAGUUAAGAGACAGCACCUGUAAGGGAAGGCUUGUUGGCGUACCAAGGCGUAGUCGAGCGACCGGAAGGAACGAGCCCCCAACACAGAGUUCCGCGCUCCGCACUCGCGUGCGGAGAAAGAAAGCUGGAACGCAUUGGGGUCCCUCGUUUCGGAAAAGUGCAGCUCCGACCGCCGGUAUCCUGCCGUGAGACACUGUGCGAGCAAAGAAGCGCAAGAGAGUCGAUUCGCGCUCUCGCGAACACAUCGCAGCUCGGCUGCCCUUCUUUUCGGAGAGAGGGCAGGCAAAAGAGCGCGUGGAGUCGCGAGAGAAAGAAAGCUGGAUCCUCUUUUCGCCUUCGGCGCGAGCCGUUGCGCUACUCGGUUAGGAUGUUAGUGUAGCAGAGUUACUUCCCCAGAGUGUGCGUCUUUUUUCGCGGAAGCGCGCGCGUUCGGUGACGAACCUCUUGUGCCCACACCAAACCCUCUUUUUUCUCGGGUCGAGCUUUCGUUGGCGGAAGAGCGGCCGUGGAGGUUGGCCUAGUAGCGGCGGGAAGCGUCGCGGUCGCAAGUCUUUGAACGAUGAAACCCCGUCCGUCGGGCGAAAGGGAAUCUGGUUCCUAUUCCAGAACCCGGUUGCGGAACCGCACUCACGAUCCUCGUAUUGACACGGUAACGUGAAUGACCCCAGAGAAGCCGUCUGGAGCCCCGGGAAGAGUUUUCUUUUCUGCCUGAGCGUUCGGGUUCCAUGGAAUCCUCUCGCAGGGAGAUAUGGAAUGGAACGCGAAGAGCACCGCAGUUGCUGCGGUGUCCGGGGAGUCCCGUCGGUCCUUGAAAAUCUGGGUGAGGGUCACGUGGAGGCGUCGCACCGGCUCGUACCCAUAUCCGCAGCAGGUCUCCAAGGUUAAGAGCCUCUAGUCGAUGGACUA
rnacentral:rRNA from 1 species